UGAUGCAGAAUGUAUGGUUGAUUUCUUCAAGAACGGGCUACAGACCAAGCAGGUGCCCGUGUAGACAGCUUAAAAAAUCGCUGUGCUUUAGAGGAAAGGAAGAGAAAAAACCCGACAGUAGAAGCAGCUCUCCUGGCUAAAGGUUGCCGCCCGACUGCAGAGGGCAAUGAAGACACUGACCGGCCCUUUGUUCCUGUGCCUGUGGCUGCAGCUGCACCGUGUGGUUGGAGGAGGGCAGGUGGAGCAGCGUCCUUCUUCCCUAAGCGUCUUGGAGGGAGAUAGCUCUGUUAUCGACUGCACUUACACAAACGGUGCUUUCUCCUACUUCUACUGGUAUAAACAAGAGCCUGGCACAGGUCUCCAAUUGCUCAUACAUAUUUUUGGAAAUAUGGACAACAAACAAGACAGAAGAUUCACUGUCUCUUUGAAUAAGAAAGACAAACAUCUCUCCCUGAACAUCUCAGCUGCCCGUCCUGGAGACGCAGCCACCUACUUCUGUGCUGUGAGCACACAGAGCUCCCAAGGCACCUGCGGCCUGUGCACAAACCCGGGGCUGGGGCUGCAUGCACAGUCUGUUGUUUCCACCUUUGAGAUCAGCAUUUUCCUGUAUUAUGUUUUUAAUAUAUGAUCUUUAAAACAUACUGAGACAAGGUCAAUUUCUGUUUUAAAAAAGACCAAAUAAGUAUUAGGACUUUUUCAAUGAGCUCUCUUUGAGAGCCAGAUGUGUUAGGUAGAUGUCACAUCUCUAGGGUUGACUUUCAUGUGACAUUCAGAUUUCUUUUCUUCCCAGGACAUCCGGUAUCAGUGUCAGGCAACAGUCUUUUCAACUGAAAGGCUUUUAUCUUUUAAUAACUGCGUUACUAGCUGGUUCUGAUAAUAUCAUUAUUAGCUGAUGGUAUAGGAAAAACCAGUAAAACUUUCAAAUGUUUUCCAGUCUUGUGGUAUAGAUAAAUCAUGGCUAAUGUAACAUAGUCUCUCUUCAUUAAAAUGUUCUUAAAAUUAGGA